rnacentral:tRNA from 1 species
UUUUUCGUAGUGUAGUGGUUAUCACGUCUGUUUUACACGCAGACGGUUCCUGGUUCGAGCCCGGGCGAAACCU